GAGUCAUAGUCAAGAUAGAUUCAUAACCUAGGUCUUGUCUUCGUUCAUAAAUUUUGUCUCAAAAAACGAAACCUUUCUUUACCUCAGCGCACUGCCUCGCCGCCAGCGUCUUCUCCCUCCUCCCCUUCUCCCCUUUCAAUGCUACCCCGGUAGUGAAGGCAGUGAUGGCCCUCGUUUCGUCUUGGACCUCGCUCCAUGACCUUGCCCUUUCUCCUCCCGGCUUCCGGAUCUUCUUCUCAUGGAACCAUGAACCAGGGGACAACGUAGCCGUCGGGCUCGGCUAUUAGGAGCUUUUCUUCCGGGGUGAGGGUUGAGGGGUUGGUGUCGAGCUCUAAGGGUGGAGGCGGGCCGGCUUUCGUGGGGCAAGUCUUUAGCAUGCUUGAUCCCUCCGGCAAUGGCCUCAUGGCGGUCACCACUUGGUUCGACAUCCCUUUCCUCACAACAGGUCAAACACUUUCCCUUUCCUCUAUCACUUCACGACUUUAGGAUUUAUGGUCAAGAAGCAAUUUUAAUCCUCGAAGUCAUUUUUACCAAUUAUCAUCCAACAAUUCUGCUCUUUUGGUGAUAAAAUAAUGGUAUAUAUUUAAUUCAUGAAAGAAUAAUUCUAAUUUUCACACUAUCAUGAAGGAAAAAUGUGUAUCAUUUGGUAUAUUUUAAUCAUCAUGUCAAUUAUCAUUUUUUGUGCAAAGCUCCUGCGUGGAUCAAAAAAAAUGCUAGAGUCGAUUACUGGCUCAGAUAAAAAAAGGUCCCAUUUUCCAAUUUUUCAUGGAUUUAGGUGAUGCAGGUAAGAGAAGAAACUGGAACAAGUGACUAAAAUUUUGUAUGUUAAACACCUCAAUGUUCCAACUGGUAUGGUGGGUGCUUGCCGCCUUGAUGUAGCAUAUGAGCAUUUCAAGCCAGUUGGAGAAUUUGCGGGUGAAAUGCAAACCUACAUUGGCGUUCUCGUUUGAGAAAAGAUCUCAAUAACUUACAAAUCAUGGAAGCAGGUGUCAAAUGAUGUUAAAGAGUUAAUAUGGGAAUCGGUGAAUCUGACGUACAAUAUUGACCCAACUUGGAGGAAAGGAUGUUUACAUUCAGCAAAUAAUAAAUGGCGUCAAUAUAAAACUUUUCUCACUCAAAAGUUUGUUUUCAGCAAGUUAGAUAAACCGGAUGAGUUGAAAGAUCCACCGAUUGGCUAUGGUAUUUCACAAGAUGAUUGGAGUUCCUUUGUAAUAACUCGCAUGUCUGUCGACUUCAGGAGAGUAAGUGAUGAACAAAAGAACAGAAGAAGCCAGAACGUAUACCCUCAUCGGCUAUCCCGUAAAAGAUAUGCACAUUUCGCUGACGAAAUUGCAUCUGAUUUAUGUGAUGAUGAUGAUAUAAAUCGAGCUAUUAUUUGGAAGAGAAGACGAGCCAAUAAGGAGGGUGAAUUUGAAGGCGAUGAUUCAAAAUUACAGCAAGAAAGAUUUUCAUGAAAACAAUUUACUCCAAUGAAGAAAUUGACGAAGCAUGAUCCGAAUGGGCGGAUUGCGUACUAGACUAUAUUCAUUACUAGGUAUAAAUUACUAGACUUCAAAAGAUGGUUGAACACUUUGUUUGUGACUCCAUGACUUAUUGAUUUUGAUUCCU